GCAGCCGCCGUGAACUGCAUCCCAGCCAUGCCUGCCUGCCUUGUAGCAACUGAGUGUGGACUAAAACCUCCAAAAACUCUUGCUGUUUGCAGCUUCCAGGAACUGCAGCCCUGCCAUAUCAGCCUGCCUUGGAGCCAAAUGAGUAUGGACUGAAACCUCCAAAAACUGUUUCCAUGGACAGACCAUCCAUAUAAGUUUUCAGGGAGAUGUCAUCACUGCUGAAUUUGUUGCCGGAUGAUCUACUUGGACUUGCUGCUGAAUAAGAUUGAGAGCUCAUAAUCCAUGGUCCCCAUUAAGGUAUCCUUCUCUCAGAGCCCCAACUCUCACUGGGGGUCUCAGCAGGCAACUUGCCGAGCCAUCCAAGGUCCUGCUACUUUGACUCACUGGAGGCGAAGUCACACUGAAGUUGGGGGUCAGCCAGCCGAAUGGACAGCUGAGCUGGCGGGGAUCCUGCAUUGACUUGUGAAUGUGAAUGAAGAAGCAGGGGUACAAACAAAAGAACUACAAAGACUAUUCACAGAAAUAAUUAAGGAAAACUUCCCAAACAUAGGAAAAGGAAAUGAUAUUCAGAUCUAUGAUGCAUACAGAACUCCAGUCACCUACAAUCAAAACAAAGCUACACCCAGACAUAUAAUAAUCAAGAUUCCAGAAAUUUCAUAUAAGAACAGAAUAUUAAAAGCUGUUAGAAGCAAAAAACAGAUAACCUACAGAGGAAGGCCCAUCAUAAUAACAGCAUACUUCUCGACACAAACCAUCAAGUCAAGAAGAGCCUGUAACAAAAUAUUCAAAGGACUGAAAGAAAAUAACCUCCAACCCAGAUGGAUAUACCCUGCUAAACUCUAUCUAGAAAUUAAUGGAAAAACAAGACGCUUCCAAGACAAAGAGGAACUUGGGAAAUUCUCAACCAUCAAUCCAGCUCUACAGAGAAUACUCCAGGGCUUUCUAGAGAGAGAGAAAAGUACCAGGAUUCAAGGAACAGUCACAGAGAAUCCUCAGUGAACAGAGAAGAAAACAGAAUGAAGAAGAAAAGCAGGAAACUGAUGGCAAAAAAGAACAUAACAGAAAUGAGGCAGAGAAGAUUUUAUUCAAAACUGAUAUGAUUGAUAGUAUCAAGUCUGAGAGUAUAGGCAACUACACUGAAGAUGACAACACUUUACGAUACACAUUCUGGUUUGAUAAUUGCCUGCUUUUGAAGUUUUAUACUAUAUACAAAGUUCUGUUUUUAUUAAUACUGUUAUGUACUGAUAUAUUCAAUUAUACUAUGUCUGAUGAUAUAGCCAAUUCUAUUGAAGAUAACAAGAGACAACACAGGAACUAUGGUAGAACUCCUUGUACAAUGGUCUUAUAUGUGUUUUGUGUUUCAUGUGUUAAUAAGAAUAUGUUUUGUCUUGCUUUCUUUUGUUUCUCCCUCUAACAUAGAAAGGAUAGAAAUACAUGUUAAGACUCAUAUACGUGUAGAAUCCAGAAACAGUUUAUGAGAACUGAUCUUAUGACACAUGAUGAAAUGAACAAAUACUUUGAAGAAAAAGAGACACUAAAAUACCCAGUGCUGAUCCUGGAGGGUCUUAAUGUGAAACCCAGCAAUAGUACUAUUCUUUGUUUAGGGUGAUAUUAGACUGCUUGGGUUUGUCCAAUUUCAACAUAAUUGAAAAUAUGGAUAAUUGCAUGUAUGUUUAAGUGCACAGGAUUGAUAACCAUAUUUCUAAGUCUUUGAUGGAUAGUUGGACAGAACUGUUUGCAGUAUCACUGUUUGAAUCCCCACUUUAUAUGCUUCACUUUAGUAUCUUGAAUAACUAUUUGUAAGAGGACAAUCUGUAAUCAUCAACUAGUGUUUUCUUGCUGUUUAUUUUUUUCUUUGCAAGUAUGUAUUAUUUCUACCAAUUUUCAAUUUUGUUUAGUCUUUCUUUAAAUAAAAUUAAAAAGAAAUGACACUAUAGUACCCAGUGCUGAUCCCAGAGUGUCAUGAUGUGAAAUACAGCAAUACUAUUAUUUUUUUUCAGAAUGACUUUAGCCUGCUUUAGUUUGUUUAAUCCCAAAAUAAAUGAUGAUAUGGAUAACUGCAUGUAUGUUUAAGUGUAUAGGAUUGACAACAAUAUUACUAAGUUUUUGUUGGAUAGUUGAACAGAACUGCUUGCAGUCUCGCUGUUUGAAUUCCCACUUUAUAUCUUGAACAGCUAUUGUAAAACGGCAGUCUGUAAACAUUAACUAGUGAUUUCUUACUGUUCAUUUUUUUUCUCUGAACAUAUGUAUUAUUUCUACCCAUUGUCUGUUUUGUUUAGUCUUUCUUU